UACAGAGGGGGCAAGCGUUAUUCGGAAUUAUUGGGCGUAAAGGGCGCGUAGGCGGCCAUUCAAGUGACGGGUGAAAGCCCUCGGCUUAACCGAGGAACUGCCUGUCAGACUGGAUGGCUUGAGACCGGGAGAGGUGAGUGGAAUUCCCAGUGUAGCGGUGAAAUGCGUAGAUAUUGGGAGGAACACCAGUGGCGAAGGCGGCAUCCUGGACCAACACUGACGCUGAGGAGCGAAAGCCAGGGGAGCAAACGGG
rnacentral:rRNA from 1 species